rnacentral:rRNA from 1 species
GACGGAGGAUGCAAGCGUUAUCCGGAAUGAUUGGGCGUAAAGCGUUCGCAGGGGGCUGUUCAAGUCUGCUGUCAAAGACCGGGGCUUAACCCUAGAAAGGCAGUGGAAACUGGACGGCUGGAGUGCAGUAUGGGUAGAGGGAAUUCCCAGUGUAGCGGUGACAUGCGUAGAGAUUGGGAAGAACACCGGUGGCGAAAGCGCUCUGCUGGACUGCAACUGACACUGAGGGACGAAAGCUAGGCGAGCGAAAGGG